rnacentral:lncRNA from 1 species
UGGUGAGAUGAUAUGGCGUACUGUGAGUGGUUGGGGGCUGAGAGUAUAUAAGCAGACCUCCCUGGGUGCCCGGGGUGUGUUGAGGCAAUGCUCCCCGUAGCAGCAUUGAGGCAUUCCUGCAAUAAAGGCUGUUGAGAAGAACCCGACCGUGUUGUGUCUUCCUUGCUGGCCAAGGUGGGCGCAACAUCUGGUGGCCUGUACAGGGCCCAAGGACAACGACCUUGUGGAUUCAGAACUCUUCAGCUGAGGAACGGUGGUACCGGAACAAGAAAAUCCAAUCUGGGUACCAGAGCGAUUGACAUGAAAGCUGCCUACAACUUCUAUCCCGUCCUCCCCCACCCCCCCACCGAAGAUGAAACUAUGGAUCCUGUGGCUGGGAAUGCUCCCGCUAGUGAGAAAUGAAGAGCUACGUUGGGGAAUUAUGUCUGUGUUCCUGAAACCCAUGCCAUUGACGCAUUCAAGUGUUUCCUCAAUUCUUUACAUCUAAUGCUUCACUACAAUUGCCUUUUUUCUAUGCUGCUUCAGCUAAAGGGAUUGUUGUGUUUUCAGAUGAUUCAAAAUAUUUCACAGAUGAAUGAUUGUGUUCAGCUGUAUCUACUAAAGCUAAUGCUACCUGGAUUUGAGGGGUGUGGCCUGCCAGUAUAUCCAAGGGCAAUGGCACUAUACCCUCCCAACCUAGAUGGGCCCCCCUUCCUUUUUGUAGGAGUAUUCCUGAUUCCCUUCCACCUUGGGCAGUGCUCCUUAUAUGUAUGGUUGUCAUGUGGGGUGAAUGGUAGUUGCACUGAUCCCUUGCCUCAGGGCUGAUGGGAGCCAUGGGAUGUAUGCUUGUAAUAGUGUGUGUGUUGUGUGUUUGGUGUAUGUGUUGGAUGCAGUGUGUGCAGACCGGAACUUCCACCAUGGUGGCGCAGGCCUUUGCCAGAGUAGAGGUGGGACAAUCUCAGAUUUGGCUUGCCGCUCUAAAGAAAUAAUGCUGUGUUAUGCCAUGGGUUGCAAGGCUAAGCACUGCACAGAGGAUAGCUUGCUGUUGGCAUCCUGUGAGUUCCCUUCCCCCAGGAAAAACGACAUGGGAGCUGGCCAAGACCUCUCUGGGUGAUGAACCCAAAGGAUGGUUUUGUGUAGGGCCCCUAUGCUUGCACACUGGGGAUCAGACCUCUACCUUCACCCAUGAGGCUUGUGUAGCAAUCAAAAUUGGGCCAGAGAUUAAUCAGUGUCCUGGCCUUCUGGUGCAUCUGCUGCAUGCAGACAGGACAAUCUCCUCAUGUGUGGCUUGGCAUGCUAGAAAAGUAGUCAGUGGCAGAUAAGACUUCCCUGGGCAUGUCACCAACCUAAGACAGCGAUCAAAUCAAUGCUGCUUGUCUCUCAAGGACGGGUAAGGGGCAUUGCUGCAGGGGGCAAUCUAAGACAGACAUUCUCUCUGCCAAAAAAAGGGGGGAGAUGUGAGGAGUGGGUGUGGACGCAGUUCCAAGAUGGCGCUCGGGACUGCAGCUAAGUCUUAUGACUUGCACCUGACUUCCUCAUACACCUGAAAAUAAACCAUGACCAUCGUGAGAGCUGUGCAGGUGUACCACGAUGCUGGCAAUGUAAUCAAGUCCAUAUUUGGUGGAGACAUGCCUCUGCCGCCCUGAUUGGCUGAAGCUGCGUGCCUGGUGAGGUGGCAUGGCCUGCUGUGAGUGGUUGGGGGCUGAGAGUAUAUAAGCAGACCUCCCUGGGUUCCCAGGGUCCCCGUAGCAGCAUUGAGGCAUUCCUGCAAUAGAGGCUGUUGAGAAGAAUCCGACCGUGUUGUGUCUUCCUUGCCAGCCUAGGUGGGCACAACAAAAGACGAUUUAUUAAGCAAGUGGCAAUAGAUAUCACCUAUAAACCUAUACACAACAGCUAAAGACAUGGCUUAGUGGGUAAAGGUGCUUGUUAAGCGAAACUGAAAAUCUGAGUUCUAUCCCUCUAUUCCACAUAGAAGGCACUGGAUUAUGUACACACACACACACACAUGUUCCAAUAAAGAUUAAUAAAAAGAAAAAAUAUAAAUAUGUCAUGGCAACAUUAUUAGUAUCUUAGGAUUUAUAUUGUUGUGGUAAAACACCAUGACCAAAAGCAACUGUGGAGGAGAGGGUUUAGUUCAGCUUACAACUCUCAGGUCACUGAGUGAAAUCAGAACAGGAACCCAAGGCAGGAACUAGAGCAGAGGCCAUGAAGGAAAUUAGUUAGGGUUACUCAAAGGAGUAGGGUGGAAGUUUGUGGCCAGUGUCUGCACCAC